AAUAAACGAAUUUCUGGGCUUUUGUAUAGAAUUUUUGGCUCUUCAUCUUAUUUGAAAUUUUUUUAUGAUUAACAUUUUUAUUGUUACUGCAUGAUAGAACAUAAAUAGUACUUCACAUGUGACUAAAUUUUUUUUAAUUUUUUAAUAAAUUUUCAUAUAAAAUGGAUGGUCAAACGCUCUAUACACAAAACUCAGA
rnacentral:pre_miRNA from 1 species